AGAGUUUGAUCCUGGCUCAGAACGAACGCUGGCGGCAGGCUUAACACAUGCAAGUCGAACGUGAAGCAGGAGCUUGCUCCUGUGGAAAGUGGCAGACGGGUGAGUAACGCGUGGGAAUUUACCCAGUGGUUCGGAAUAACGCAUGGAAACGUGUGCUAAUACCGGAUACGCCCUCCGGGGGAAAGAUUUAUCGCCAUUGGAUGAGCCCGCGUCGGAUUAGCUAGUUGGUGAGGUAAUGGCUCACCAAGGCGACGAUCCGUAGCUGGUCUGAGAGGAUGAUCAGCCACACUGGGACUGAGACACGGCCCAGACUCCUACGGGAGGCAGCAGUGGGGAAUAUUGCGCAAUGGGGGAAACCCUGACGCAACCAUGCCGCGUGAGUGAAGAAGGCCUUAGGGUUGUAAAACUCUUUCAGUGGUGAAGAUAAUGACGGUAGCCACAGAAGAAGCCCCGGCCAACUCCGUGCCAGCAGCCGCGGUAAUACGGAGGGGGCUAGCGUUGUUCGGAAAUACUGGGCGUAAAGCGCGCGUAAGCGGGCUGGGUAAUUGGGGGUGAAAUCCCCAGGCUCAACCUGGGAACUGCCCUCUAUACUGCCCGUCCUGGAUUCCAAAGAGAGAAACCGAAUUUCCUACGUUAAAGGGGAAAUCCUUAAUAUUUGGAAGAACACCCUUUGGCGAAAGGGGGGUUCUUGGUUCGAUA
rnacentral:rRNA from 1 species